rnacentral:rRNA from 1 species
UACGUAGGUGGCAAGCGUUGUCCGGAAUUAUUGGGCGUAAAGCGCGCGCAGGUGGUUUCUUAAGUCUGAUGUGAAAGCCCACGGCUCAACCGUGGAGGGUCAUUGGAAACUGGGGAACUUGAGUGCAGAAGAGGAAAGUGGAAUUCCAAGUGUAGCGGUGAAAUGCGUAGAGAUUUGGAGGAACACCAGUGGCGAAGGCGACUUUCUGGUCUGAUACUGACGCUGAGGCGCGAAAGCGUGGGGAGCGAUCCGG